rnacentral:rRNA from 1 species
AGUGAACGCUGGCGGUAGGCCUAACACAUGCAAGUCGAACGGCAGCACAGUAAGAGCUUGCUCUUACGGGUGGCGAGUGGCGGACGGGUGAGGAAUACAUCGGAAUCUACUUUUUCGUGGGGGAUAACGUAGGGAAACUUACGCUAAUACCGCAUACGACCUACGGGUGAAAGCAGGGGAUCUUCGGACCUUGCGCGAUUGAAUGAGCCGAUGUCGGAUUAGCUAGUUGGCGGGGUAAAGGCCCACCAAGGCGACGAUCCGUAGCUGGUCUGAGAGGAUGAUAAGCCACACUGGAACUGAGACACGGUCCAGACUCCUACGGGAGGCAGCAGUGGGGAAUAUUGGACAAUGGGCGCAAGCCUGAUCCAGCCAUACCGCGUGGGUGAAGAAGGCCUUCGGGUUGUAAAGCCCUUUUGUUGGGAAAGAAAAGCAGCAGGUUAAUACCCCGCUGUUCUGACGGUACACAAAGAAUAAGCACCGGCUAACUUCGU